CCUACAUCCAUGUGUGUAGGACCCCAAAAGAUCACCAUUAAAUUUGGCACAGAUCUCUAGAAACGUUAUCACAAGGGUGUGGGACUUGACUUUUCUAGAGAUCUGUGCUAAAUUUAAUGGUGAUCCUUUGGAGUCCUACACACAUGGGUGUGGG
rfam:Amborella trichopoda AMTR_V1.0_contig_34375, whole genome shotgun sequence.